rnacentral:tRNA from 1 species
GCGCCACUAGCUCAGUUGGUAGAGCAGCUGACUCUUAAUCAGCGGGUCGGGGGUUCGAGUCCCUCGUGGCGCACCA